UGACCGUACUAAGGUAGCAUAAUAAUUUGCCUUUUAAUUGGAGGCUGGUAUGAAUGGCUUGACGUGAAAUAUACUGUCUCAACUAUAUUUAGUAGAAUUUAACUUUUAGGUGAAGAGGCCUAAAUUUUGUGGGAAGACAAGAAGACCCUAUUGAGCUUUAAAUAUUUAUGUUAGUGGGAACCUAAGAUUUAUAUGAUGGUCAUUACUUCUAAGUAUGUUGGUUGGGGCGACCGAGGAGUAUAAAGUAACCUCCUUGUAAUGUAAAGAAUUUGUUAUCAACGAACCUGUAAUAUAGGUUAUUCGGUAGUUACCAUAGGGAUAACAGCGUAAUUCUUUUGAAGAGUUCAUAUCGAAGAAAGAGAUUGCGACCUCGAUGUUGGAUUAAGGUGUCCUAAGGG
rnacentral:rRNA from 1 species